rnacentral:rRNA from 1 species
AUUGAACGCUGGCGGCAUGCUUUACACAUGCAAGUCGAACGGCAGCGCGGGCUUCGGCCUGGCGGCGAGUGGCGAACGGGUGAGUAAUGCAUCGGAACGUGCCCAGUAGUGGGGGAUAGCCCGGCGAAAGCCGGAUUAAUACCGCAUACGACCUGAGGGUGAAAGCGGGGGACCGAAAGGCCUCGCGCUAUUGGAGCGGCCGAUGUCGGAUUAGCUAGUUGGUGGGGUAAAGGCUUACCAAGGCGACGAUCCGUAGCUGGUCUGAGAGGACGACCAGCCACACUGGGACUGAGACACGGCCCAGACUCCUACGGGAGGCAGCAGUGGGGAAUUUUGGACAAUGGGGGCAACCUUGAUCCAGCCAUGCCGCGUGCGGGAAGAAGGCCUUCGGGUUGUAAACCGCUUUUGUUCGGGAAGAAAUCCUCUGGGCUAAUACCCCGGGGGGAUGACGGUACCGGAAGAAUAAGCACCGGCUAACUACGU